AGAGUUUGAUCCUGGCUCAGAUUGAACGCUGGCGGCAUGCCUUACACAUGCAAGUCGAACGGCAGCGCGGGGCAACCUGGCGGCGAGUGGCGAACGGGUGAGUAAUAUAUCGGAACGUACCCUGGAGUGGGGGAUAACGUAGCGAAAGUUACGCUAAUACCGCAUACGAUCUAAGGAUGAAAGUGGGGGAUCGCAAGACCUCAUGCUCCUGGAGCGGCCGAUAUCUGAUUAGCUAGUUGGCGGGGUAAAAGCCCACCAAGGCAACGAUCAGUAGCUGGUCUGAGAGGACGACCAGCCACACUGGAACUGAGACACGGUCCAGACUCCUACGGGAGGCAGCAGUGGGGAAUUUUGGACAAUGGGCGCAAGCCUGACCCAGCAAUGCCGCGUGAGUGAAGAAGGCCUU
rnacentral:rRNA from 1 species